UUUUAAAAAUUUCAUCCCUCUGUACUAUUAAAAGCUGGCGUGCUUAAUAGAAUAACUAGAUAGUGACACUUGCAUGUAUCUCUUGUUGAUGUGCAUGGAUUGGUUUUUAACAGUAAAAAUGGAUAAAAUUUUUAAUA
rfam:Gossypium raimondii Chr06_contig_1305, whole genome shotgun sequence.